CCCUACGGGGCGCAGCAGUGAGGAAUAUUGGUCAAUGGGCGAGAGCCUGAACCAGCCAAGUCGCGUGAGGGAUGACUGCCCUAUGGGUUGUAAACCUCUUUCGUAUGGGGGGAAUAAGCUUUACGAGUAGAGUGAUGACAGUACCAUACGAAUAAGCAUCGGCUAACUCCGUGCCAGCAGCCGCGGUAAUACGGAGGAUGCGAGCGUUAUCCGGAUUUAUUGGGUUUAAAGGGUGCGUAGGCGGUCGGAUAAGUUAGAGGUGAAAUCCCGAGGCUCAACUUCGGAAUUGCCUCUGAUACUGUUCG
rnacentral:rRNA from 1 species